rnacentral:rRNA from 1 species
UCAAAUGAAUUGACGGGGCCCGCACAAGCGGUGGAGCAUGUGGUUUAAUUCGACGCAACGCGAAGAACCUUACCAGGGCUUGACAUCCCCUGACCGCGUAUGAAAGUACGUUUUCACCCUCGGGUGACAGGGAGACAGGUGGUGCAUGGUUGUCGUCAGCUCGUGUCGUGAGAUGUUGGGUUAAGUCCCGCAACGAGCGCAACCCCUAUCUCUAGUUGCCAGCGAUUCGGUCGGGGACUCUAGAGAUACUGCCCCGGUUAACGGGGAGGAAGGUGGGGAUGACGUCAAGUCCUCAUGGCCCUUACGCCCAGGGCUACACACGUGCUACAAUGGGCGGUACAAAGGGUAGCGAUGCCGCGAGGUGAAGCCAAUCCCAAAAAGCCGUCCACAGUUCGGAUUGGAGUCUGCAACUCGACUCCAUGAAGCCGGAAUCGCUAGUAAUCGUGGAUCAGCAUGCCACGGUGAAUACGUUCCCGGGCCUU